CUACGGGGCGCUGCAGUGAGGAAUAUUGCACAAUGGGGGGAACCCUGAUGCAGCAACGCCGCGUGGAGGAUGACGCAUUUCGGUGUGUAAACUCCUUUUAUAUGUCAAGAAAAUGACGGUAGCAUAUGAAUAAGCACCCGCUAACUCCGUGCCAGCAGCCGCGGUAAUACGGAGGGUGCAAGCGUUAUUCGGAAUCACUGGGCGUAAAGGACGCGUAGGCGGGUUGGAAAGUCAGGUGUGAAAUCCUACAGCUUAACUGUAGAACUGCACUUGAAACUUCUAAUCUAGAGUAUGGGAGGGGGAGAUGGAAUUAGUGGUGUAGGGGUAAAAUCCGUAGAUAUCACUAGGAAUACCUAAAGCGAAGGCGAUCUCCUGGAACAUUACUGACGCUAAGGCGUGAAAGCGUGGGGAGCAAACAGGAUUAGAUACCCCUGUAGUC
rnacentral:rRNA from 1 species